GUAAUAUGUUCAGAAUUUUACUUUUGUGUCCUCUGUAUAGCUGAGCAGCAGGAUGCCAGGCUCAGUGAGGAUUGGUGCUUCCUGUGGACCACACACUGGGACCUCAUGAGAAAAAUGUUUGGCAUGAUAACAGAGAUUCAUUCUGGUUUUGAGUGAUCAAACCAACUGUGGGUUUCAUCAACACGAUACACUUCAAUAACAGUCUUUCCCAGGAUAUCGUGAAAUGCUUUGAAUAACAUCAGAAAAUUUCUAGUUCUCCCUUUUGUCGGCUGUUAAUCCUUAUGCUGUUCCCCUGUUCAUCUCCUGGAG